AGAUGAGCUGUCUUGUAGUAGCUGUGCUUGCUGUGUACGCCUUCCUACCCGGCAUCUACACAGUCGAGUGGUGUUAUGAUCGGCCAAGCUGCAAUGCCUCCACCUGGCCGACCAGUUUUCCAAAUUAUUGCAGUGGAAAGAGACAGUCACCCAUUAACAUCAUCUCAGCAUCUGCCCAACCCAACUCCAACCUGACUCCGUUCACCUUUCAAAACUUCAGCAACCCCUCUGC